rnacentral:tRNA from 1 species
GCGCCGUAGCUCAGCUGGAUAGAGUACCUGGCUACGAACCAGGCGGUCAGAGGUUCGAAUCCUCUCGGACGCGCCA